rnacentral:lncRNA from 1 species
AUGAAGACAGUUCUAGAUUCAACAGGAAAAUUAUUGCCUCCUCAAAUAUUAAUGACUUCUGAUUUCUCCGAGGCUGGGGAGCAGGCAGAGGCAUUUCUGGCGAUGUGCGAAUUUUCCAGGUUGGAGGAUAAGGCCGUGAAGGCGGCGGCGGCGGCAGCGGGACGAGCGGGACGGGCAGGGAUCGCUUCGCCGCCUUCCCAGCGGGCCAGGAACAAUGGUGCGAGGCGUGGGACGGAGCCCCUCUCCCUCCCGGGCGGCCCCCGCCGCCCCCGCGCCUCGCCCGCAGCCCGGGGGCCGCCACCUCCGGCUCCCCCCCCGGCCCCCCCGUCCUCCCUCCACCCACCCGGAGAAGUUUGUAAAUACCUUAAUCCACUCCCGGAGACGGGGGAUUAUGCCACAAUUUCCAAGCCGAAUUUCACUGAACACUUUUGCCCAGCUACAAGUGUGGGGGUAAAAUGGCGGUUCGGGUCCUGCGCUCCUCCAUCGCCCGGGGAACUUUCUGCGUGGCUGCACCUCCGUGCCCCGGCUGCGGCAGCCGGGACCUGUAAAAUGUCCUCUCCCUGCCGGGGGAGAAGCCGUUCAAAUGUGAAUUCGAGGGCUGUGACAGACGCUUCGCCAACAGCAGCGACAGGAAGAAGCACUCGCACGUCCACACCAGCGACAAGCCCUACAACUGCAAACUCCGGCUACGAGUCCUCCACGCCCUCCUUGGUGUCCCCCUCCUCGGACUCCGGCCGGGAGCCCCCCGCCUCCUGUUCCCACGCCGAGCCCUCCGCGCCCGCGCAGCCCGCCGCCAACCUGAGCGAAUGA